UGGGGGAUAUUGCACAAUGGGCGAAAGCCUGAUGCAGCGACGCCGCGUGGGGGAUGAAGGCUUUCGGGUUGUAAACCUCUUUCGCUAUCGAACAAUGCCCGCUUAGGGUGGGUUGAGGGUAGGUGGAGAAGAAGCGCCGGCUAACUACGUGCCAGCAGCCGCGGUAAUACGUAGGGCGCGAGCGUUGUCCGGAAUUAUUGGGCGUAAAGUGCUUGUAGGCGGCUUGUUGCGCCUGCUGUGAAAACGCGGGGCUUAACUUCGAGCGUGCAGUGGGUACGGGAAGGCUUGAGUGUGGUAGGGGUGACUGGAAUUCCAGGUGUAGCGGUGGAAUGCGCAGAUAUCUGGAGGAACACCGAUGGCGAAGGCAGGUCACUGGGCCAUUACUGACGCUGAGGAGCGAAAGCAUGGGUAGCGAACAGG
rnacentral:rRNA from 1 species